UUGUGGGGUUGCUAGCUGGGGUGCAUAUUUGUUCAAGAGAAAUGUAUUAGCCAUGUCGUUUGCGCCAAGGGACAAUCACGAAGCACAGAUACAGUUUGCACUGGAGCGUGGUGUACCUGCUUUUAUUGGCGUGUUGGGUAGUAUACGCCUUCCAUUUCCAUCUAGAGCCUUUGAUAUGGCUCAGUGUUCAAGAUGCCUCAUACCAUGGUCUUCAAAUGAUGGUAUGUAUCUGAUGGAAGUUGACAGAGUCCUCAGACCUGGCGGCUAUUGGGUCCUAUCUGGCCCUCCAAUCAACUGGAAGACCUAUUACCAGACAUGGAAACGUUCUAAGGAGGAUCUAAAUGCAGAGCAGAAGAAAAUCGAACAGCUAGCUGAGCAGCUUUGCUGGGAGAAAAAAUAUGAGAAGGGAGAUAUUGCCAUCUGGAGGAAAAAGGAAAAUGACAAAUCCUGCAAAAGGAAGAAGACUGCAAAAAUAUGUGAAGCAAAUGAUGUAGAAGAUGUCUGGUACCAAAAAAUGGAAACAUGCGUCACCCCUUUUCCUGAGGUAACAAGUGAUGGAGAAGUAGCAGGAGGGAAAUUGAAGAAGUUCCCAG
rnacentral:misc_RNA from 1 species